rnacentral:rRNA from 1 species
UGGGGAAUAUUGGACAAUGGAGGAAACUCUGAUCCAGCAAUUCUGUGUGUGUGAAGAAGGUUUUAGGACUGUAAAACACUUUUAGUAGGGAAGAAAAAAAUGACGGUACCUACAGAAGAAGCAACGGCUAAAUACGUGCCAGCAGCCGCGGUAAUACGGAAGGUCCAGGCGUUAUCCGGAUUUAUUGGGUUUAAAGGGAGUGUAGGCGGUUGGUUAAGCGUGUUGUGAAAUGUAGAUGCUCAACAUCUGACUUGCAGCGCGAACUGGCUGACUUGAGUACACACAACGUAGGCGGAAUUCAUAGUGUAGCGGUGAAAUGCUUAGAUAUCAUGAAGAACUCCGAUUGCGAAGGCAGCUUACGGGAGUGUUACUGACGCUUAAGCUCGAAGGUGCGGGUAUCGAACAGG